AAGCUCGUAGUUGAAUUUCGGGGUUCUACCGUUGGUCGGGCUAACAAGUCUGUACUAGCGUGUAGAAUCUCUACCUUCUGGGGAACCAUCAUGUUAUUAAUUUAGCGUGGUGGGAAACCAGGACCUUUACCUUGAAAAAAUUAGAGUGUUCAAAGCAGGCUUACGUCUGAAUACAUUAGCAUGGAAUAAUAAAAUAGGACGGUGGUCCUGUUUCGUUGGUUUCUGAAUCACCGUAAUGAUUAAUAGGGUUAGUUGGG
rnacentral:rRNA from 1 species